rnacentral:rRNA from 1 species
AGAUUGAACGCUGGCGGCAGGCCUAACACAUGCAAGUCGAGCGGCAGCACGGGUACUUGUACCUGGUGGCGAGCGGCGGACGGGUGAGUAAUGCCUAGGAAUCUGCCUGAUAGUGGGGGAUAACGUUCGGAAACGGACGCUAAUACCGCAUACGUCCUACGGGAGAAAGUGGGGGAUCUUCGGACCUCACGCUAUCAGAUGAGCCUAGGUCGGAUUAGCUAGUUGGUGAGGUAAAGGCUCACCAAGGCGACGAUCCUUAGCUGGUCUGAGAGGAUGAUCAGCCACACUGGGACUGAGACACGGCCCAGACUCCA